rnacentral:rRNA from 1 species
GAUGAACGCUGGCGGCGUGCUUAACACAUGCAAGUCGAACGAUGAAGCCCAGCUUGCUGGGUGGAUUAGUGGCGAACGGGUGAGUAACACGUGAGUAACCUGCCCUUAACUCUGGGAUAAGCCUGGGAAACUGGGUCUAAUACCGGAUAGGAGCGCCUACCGCAUGGUGGGUGUUGGAAAGAUUUAUCGGUUUUGGAUGGACUCGCAGCCUAUCAGCUUGUUGGUGAGGUAAUGGCUCACCAAGGCGACGACGGGUAGCCGGCCUGAGAGGGUGACCGGCCACACUGGGACUGAGACACGGCCCAGACUCCUACGGGAGGCAGCAGUGGGGAAUAUUGCACAAUGGGCGAAAGCCUGAUGCAGCGACGCCGCGUGAGGGAUGACGGCCUUCGGGUUGUAAACCUCUUUCAGUAGGGAAGAAGCGAAAGUGACGGUACCUGCAGAGGAAGCACCGGCUAACUACGUG